UUUACCACUCACCGGUACAAUGGCAUAGAGGGCAAAGAAAAGAAACUUCCAACACAGAAAUAACCCUUGUAAAUCAAAAAAUACUCUUUAGCUCACUUAGUGCACGAGGCAUAACGAACAAAAGAAAGAUUGCCGCAUGGGAAAAUGUGACUGAUGCAGUUCAUUCAGUUGGGUCAGAAGUGAGAACACUAUCUGAAGUAAAGAAAAUGGUUCGACGUUAAACUUGAUGCCAAAAAAAGUGUCACAGCCCACAGACGUGAGACAUCAGCAACUGGAGGAGGACAGACCACCACGGAACUUUCCCCUUUGGACAACAGAAUUGCCAGAAUCAUCGGCGACACAGCUCUGCCCGGCAUAGGACGGUGACACCGACGCUCAAGCCGGGCCGUCUAAUUGAAGCGAGUCCCAUGGUGCUGGUGCUGGAGGAGUCGGAGGAACCGGGGCCGUCCAUUGUCCCUUCAUCGUGCGCCAAGAGUGCUGACGGAGGCAGUACUGCAAAACCAAGAGGAAACGGCAAAAUCCAUUAAUGACCUGAAGGAGCAAAUGACCAACAUGACCAAUGUAUUAAUUCAAAUCAAUGAAGCCCUCUGCAAAUCAGAUUGCCUCUUGCGCAAAUAAAAUGGCAAA